ensembl:snRNA U2 U2 spliceosomal RNA
AUUGCUUCUCGGCCUUUUGGCUAAGAUCAAGUGUAGAAAUACAUUGCUUGCAUGCUCCUCCCUAAACCCGUUCUUCUCUCUGCCUCUUCAGAGGUUAAUCAGUACCCUGAAUUUGCUGCUUAUCAUUUCCAAGAUGAAGUGAUAGAUUUCUGUGUUUAAUUUUAUUUUAAAUUAAAAAAAAUUCUUCUA